AGUGAACGCUGGCGGUGGGCCUAACACAUGCAAGUCGAACGGCAGCACAGUAAGAGCUUGCUCCUACGGGUGGCGAGUGGCGGAUGGGUGAGGAAUACAUCGGAAUCUACUUUUUCGUGGGGGAUAACGUAGGGAAACUUACGCUAAUACCGCAUAUGAUCAACGGGUGAAAGCAAGAGAUCUUCGGACCUUGCGUGAUUGAAUGAGCCGAUGCCGGAUUAGCUAGUUGGCGGGGUAAAGGCCCACCAAGGCGACGAUGCGUAGCUGGUCUGAGAGGAUGAUCGGCCACACUGGAACUGAGACACGGUCCAGACUCCUACGGGAGGCAGCAGUGGGGAAUAUUGGGCAAUGGGCGCAAGCCUGAUCCAGCCAUGCCGCGUGGGUGAAGAAGGCCUUCGGGUUGUAAAGCCCUUUUGUUGGGGAAGAAAAGCUGCAUGAUAAACCCCCGCUGUUCUGACGGUACCCAAAGAAUAAGCACCGGCUAACUUCGUG
rnacentral:rRNA from 1 species